rnacentral:lncRNA from 10 species
CCUUCUAAUAUGAUUAGUUCUGCUAUUUCUGCGGACUUGGGUCGCCAGGAGCUCAUCCAAAGGAGCAGUGAAGCUUUGGCCACUGUCACAGGAAUUGUGGAUGGUUCGGGGAGCAUUGGAGCUGCAGUGGGCCAGGUGAGAGAACAGGAGAGGGGCUGGGAUUCAAGGACUUCCGUCUCCCCUCAGGACCAGCUGAUGCGUCCUAAUGUAGAAGGACUCUCCAUUGUUUUUAGUUCCUUUUUUCUACUUAUACUUCUAGAUUCUUCCUGUCUGCAAAUAAGCUAAGACCUCGUAAGACAGACAGAUCCUUCUGCCCCAGCCCACCAUCCCCUUCUUUCUUUCCAGGCUGAACUUGGUAUUCCGUGGUGGGGGGUGCUUCUUGUUAUCCCCACCUGGCAUGUGGACCCCACCAUUGCUGUCUCCCGUCUCCCUCUCCCAGACACUCUACUGCAUACACGUUCCUUCCUGGGCCCCGCCAGACAUGGCCAUGGACUCUGCAGCUGCUUCUGAAUCACUCGCUCUGCUUCCUGUGUAUCCAAAAAUCUCUGACUGUAUCUCAAAGAGUGGCCCAUAAGUGUCUGGUAUCAGAAUCAUCUGGGACACUCAUUAAAGUACAGAACACCAAGCAUACUACAGACUUGCUGAGUUCGAACCUACAGAUCUGUAUUUUCAACAAGGCUUCUUGGUGAUUCUUCCACACUCAGAUGUUUGAGAUCCCUACACUAAGAUUGGCCUACUAUACUUAGAAUUAUUUACAUUGACCUUUUUUUUUUUUGCAUAAAUUCAACUUUCUCUGGGACAGAUAUUUCUUUUCUGGCAGAGUCAUGAGUCAUGCCUCUUCUAGGAUAUACCACUACAGAUUGUAGAGUACUAAUUUUGUAGAAAGAUGGAUCUGAGAGUCAUCUGUAUGGAUAAAAAUAGUUGAACCUGUGGAAGUGAAUGAAACAUUUAAUAGGGAAAGAGAAUGUUGGCCGAGUCUCAGGGAAUGCCCAGUGGUCAAAGAAAGAGGAAGGCAGCAGAGUAACCUGUAGUCAAGGGAACUGCGUUUGAGAAGGCGUUAGUAAGGUCAUGGAUGUAGAGAGGUCAGGAGAAAGAGAACUGAAGGAUUUGUCUUUUAGGCUCUUAGUUUUGACAUCUAGGAGGUCAUUAAUAACCUUGAAGAUUAUUGUUACUUGCUUGAUGGGGGUGAAUUGCUGAUGUCUGAUUGCUAGUGGUUAAUGAGAGAUAAGUAUUGAGGUAAAGUAAGCCAUGUUAAUACUUUGACUACCUAGCCGUAUUUUAAUAGUCUAUAUGCACUUGUUAAUGUCUGUCUCUCCCACUGUAACAUAAGCUUCCUGAGCGCAGCAUUUUGUUGUAUGUUCUUCUGUCACCUUAGUACCUAGAACAGUGCCUGGCACACAGUAGACAUUACUUGUGGAAUGAAUGACUGAUAUGCUUGGCAUAUUUGAUUAUAAGACUAAAGGGCAAAAAACCCCAAAGAAACAAAAACCUUAGCAAAGCCUUGAAAAAUACGCUUACCUGAUCAUGCCCUGGAGCGGGAAUCGAAAAAUGCUCCCAGCCAUCAGUUCAGACGUCUUCACCUAUGGGGUAGAGAGUGGCUGCAUUGGGCAUCCUUUUCUGACAUUAUAUUAUUUUAAGUUAUCCUUCC